GGGAACAUCAAAGCCCCUGACUGCAGAGAGCGCUUCCCCUGACGGUGCGGCAGGAACAGGCCCACCUUGCAGUCCUCCCCUCUCCUCGGUGCUGGGGGAAAUGGCGGUCCAUUGGGAAGAGCCUGCACUAAUCUGACAUGAGAGUAUCGCUUCCUAAUCCUCUUCAGAUGACAGGGAGGCGCUCGUGUAUGCAUCAACACCAGAAGGAUGGUCAACUUGUCUGAAUUGAAUGCAAAAAUCAAGAUUCACAAGCCAUGUGUACAGAUGACAAGAUUUGGUGUGGCUGCUGACGCGUCCUCUCAGCUCUGAGGUGGCCAUGACGCUGGAGAGGGCUGCUGUACCUCUGCCCCCGCCGCGCUCCCGGGAGACUCCAAUUUGCGCUUCUUCCUGGGUCCGAUGGCUGCCAGCGCGGUGAGAUUGGCGUCUCGCUGUCUCAUCUGAGCCAGCUCCUGCUGCUGCAUCUGAAGCGCACAGCAGCGGGUUAGACAGCCGUCAGCCGCACCUUACGCUUCUGGCUCCAAUCCCAUGGAGAGAUACAAGCCAACUCGACCAUUUAGGGCUGGGAUAUAUUUUAACGUAAUCAGGACAUCAGACGGAACACAUCUGAGGUA